UACAGAGGUCCCGAGCGUUGUUCGGAAUUAUUGGGCGUAAAGGGUGCGUAGGCGGUAGGGUAAGUUAGAUGUGAAAUGUCGGCGCUUAACGUCGAACCUGCAUUUAAGACUGCCCUGCUUGAGCGCUAGAGAGGAGUCUGGAAUUUACGGUGUAGCAGUGAAAUGCGUAGAUAUCGUAAGGAAGGCCAGUGGCGAAAGCGAGACUCUGGCUAGAUGCUGACGCUGAGGCACGAAAGCUGGGGGAGCAAACGGG
rnacentral:rRNA from 1 species